rnacentral:rRNA from 1 species
CUAGUUGGUAGGGUAACGGCCUACCAAGGCGACGAUGGGUAGCUGGUGUGAGAGCACGACCAGCCACACGGGCACUGAGACGCGGGCCCGACUCCUACGGGAGGCAGCAGUGAGGAAUAUUGGUCAAUGGACGCAAGUCUGAACCAGCCAUGCCGCGUGAAGGAUGAAGGCCUUCUGGGUUGUAAACUUCUUUUACCUGGGAAGAAACCUCAGUUUUCUAACUGAGUUGACGGUACCAGAGGAAUAAGCACCGGCUAACUCCGUGCCAGCAGCCGCGGUAAUACGGAGGGUGCAAGCGUUAUCCGGAUUUACUGGGUUUAAAGGGUGUGUAGGCGGGUCUUUAAGUCAGUGGUGAAAUCUCCGAGCUCAACUUGGAAACUGCCAUUGAUACUAUUGAUCUUGAAUUUUGUUGAGGUAGGCGGAAUAAGUCAUGUAGCGGUGAAAUGCAUAGAUAUGACUUAGAACACCAAUUGCGAAGGCAGCUUGCUAAACAAAUAUUGACGCUGAGGCACGAAAGCGUGGGGAUCAAACAGGAUUAGAUACCCUGGUAGUCCACGCCCUAAACGAUGAUUACUCGACAUACGCGAUACACAGUGUGUGUCUGAGCGAAAGCAUUAAGUAAUCCACCUGGGAAGUACGACCGCAAGGUUGAAACUCAAAGGAAUUGACG